CAGGCCAACUGCUGACACUCCCCCAUGAACUCUGCCUGCGCCUCUCACUCCAGUGGAGUACCAGACUCAACGGGAGAGCGCUCGGCGGUCCAUUUAUCGCAUCUUCACUAGACACGAUGUAUCGACCCCCGCUGGAUCGAUCGCUCCUGAGAUACAUUCCUUGUUUGGAUUGAAACUUUAUAUUCUGCUCCCAGCCCAAGUGCAAAUAUUUUGUGAAAAUAUGAGGGAAAUCCCUUCAGCCAUAUUCAAGUGAGGGUGAAUGAUGCUGUCCAUCUUUUCAACUGGAGAGAGGGGGGAAUGUAUGCACAAACCAUGUGCUGUGCUGCUGAGAAGGGAAGGGCAUCAGCGUGUCUCCAUAUCUGCGUGCACUAUACAGCAUCUCCAUGAGGCUUACAGUGCUUCAGAACGGAUGCAAACAGGAUUGACAGUGCCAUAGGAGUACAAGAGCUUCUGCAACCACAGGAACCCAGCCCCCCAUGGAUGUGUGAGCUCCCUCUCCCACCACACUGUACCUUGAAUUGUUCUUUUGAAGAAGGCUUUGCAUGCCUCGCAGGAGGCCACGCCAUAGUG